UUUCCCUCAGGAUAGCUGGCACUCGCUAGAGCGAGUCUCAUCUGGUAAAGCGAAUGAUUAGAGGCCUUGGGGCCGAAACGACCUCAACCUAUUCUCAAACUUUAAAUGGGUGAGAUCUCUGGCUUGCUUGAAACUUGAAGCCACGAGAUAAACUUUGUAUCAUGGAUCAGAGUGCCAAGUGGGCCAAUUUUGGUAAGCAGAACUGGCGCUGUGGGA
rnacentral:rRNA from 2 species